GUGAGGUUGAACGUGAUGGUAAGCUCCCAUUUCUUGACAUUGACAUAUCCCGCUCCAAUGGAAAAUUUUCUACUUCUGUUUACCGUAAACCUACGUUUACUGGUCUUUUUACUAACUUCCAUAGCUUCAUUCCACUUACAUACAAACGCAGCAUAAUAUCUUGCUUAAUACACCGCAUCUUUAGCAUUUGUUCUAGCUAUGAGACUUUCCAUCACCAACUUGAAGCAGCACGUAGAAUGUUUAUCUUAAAUGGUUUCCCUUCUCAUAUGUUCGACCGAUGUGUUAGAACUUUUCUUAACAAAGUAUUUCAACCUAAGCUACCUGUUCAUACUGUUCCUAAGAAAAUAAUUUAUUUCUGUCUCCCUUUUACGGGCACUCACUCCUUGCAAAUUCGCACGCAAAUCAACCGUCUUUGUCGUGCUGCUUUCCCACAUCUUGAUAUAAGAUUUGUCUUUCGAUCAACUAAACGGCUCUCAACCUUUUUCUCUUUUAAGGACAAAAUACCCAAAGCACUGAAGUCGGGUGUAGUGUACUCUUUUACGUGUCGAUGCUGUUCCGCAUCGUAUGUGGGUCAAACCACGCGCCAUCUACACACCCGAGUUUCGGAACAUCUGGGUAUCACUCCUAUCACUGGCAAACAAUGUAAAAAUCCUCCCCAGUCCAGCAUUUUCUCACAUCUCACAUCCACAGGCCACGCUGCUUCUAUUGACGACUUCGAAAUCCUCUCCUCUUGUUCAGAUGAACAAGAACUCCUCAUUCAUGAAAGCUUUUUUAUCUCUAAAAUGAAACCCUCUCUCAACGUUCAAGGCAGUUCAAUCCCUCUUCACGUAUUCUGAUCUCCUUUUUUUAUGUUUUGUCUGUUUGUGUUGUCUAAUUUGGUUGUUCUCAUUUUUGUCCGUCACUUCCCUUCAUUAUCCAUUCUUAUCCUUACGUUUUGUGUACCUCGUCUUCGCUUGUAAUUUAAUAUUGCUAUAAUAGCUUUACUUUAUGCUUAAUUACUCUUACAGCUUGUAAUUUAAUAUAGUCUGAAGAUGUCUUGAGUUAAGACGAAACGUUACUAAAUCUUUAAUAAAAUUUUUAAAUUUAAUGGUUUAUGGCUCUUUUAAAAGCACUUUGCUGGGCAUUAAUAUUUAUUAUCAGAAUUC